rnacentral:rRNA from 1 species
AAAUUGAAGAGUUUGAUCAUGGCUCAGAUUGAACGCUGGCGGCAGGCCUAACACAUGCAAGUCGAACGGUAACAGGAAGCAGCUUGCUGCUUUGCUGACGAGUGGCGGACGGGUGAGUAAUGUCUGGGAAACUGCCUGAUGGAGGGGGAUAACGUACUGGAAACGGUAGCUAAUACCGCAUAACGUCGCAAGACCAAAGAGGGGGACCUUCGGGCCUCUUG